CUACGGGUCGCAGCAGUCGAGAAUAGUCUACAAUGGACGAAAGUCUGAUAGUGCGACGCCGCGUGGAUGAAGAAGCAUUUCGGUGUGUAAAGUCCUUUUCUGUGUGAGCAAUGUUUUCCAGGUUAAUAGCUUGGAGAAAGCGAUAUUAACACAGGGAUAAGCUCCGGCUAACUCCGUGCCAGCAGCCGCGGUAACACGGGGGGAGCAAGCGUUGUCCGGAAUUACUAGGCGUAAAGGGUAAGUAGGCGGAAUUGUAAGUCAGAUGUUAAAGGCACCGGCUCAACCGGUGUAUGGCCAUUUGAUACUGUAAUUCUAGAGUAAGGUGGGGGAAGACGGAAUUCCUGGUGUAGCGGUGGAAUGCGCAGAUAUCAGGAGGAACACCAGAGGCGCAGGCGGUCUUCUAUACCAUUACUGACGCUCAAUUACGAAGGUGUGGGUAUCAAACAGGAUUAGAUACCCUAGUAGUC
rnacentral:rRNA from 1 species